CUAAAAACCUAGCCCAACAAACAUGAAUUUUACCAAAUUAACUAAACCCCUCUUAACAAACCAUUUUAAUAUUCUAGUAAAGGAGAUUGAAAAACUUAUUUGGAGCUAUAAAAACAGUACCGCAAGGGAACGGUGAAAUAUUAUGAAAAACUUCAAGCAGCAAAAAGUAAAGAUUACCUCUUGUACCUUUCGCAUCAUGGUUUAACUAGUCUAACCAAGCAAAACGUAUUUAAGUUUGACUUCCCGAAACUAAGUGAGCUACUUCAGGGCAGCUAGAAGAGCAAACCCGUCUCUGUAGCAAAAGAGUGGGACGACCCUCAAGUAGUGGUGACAGACCUAACGAACUUAGUGAUAGCUGGUUGCUCAAGAAACGGAUUUAAGUCCAACCUGAAAGUUUUACAACCUAAGUUCAUCAAAACAAUCACCUAGCUUUCAGCGUAAUUCAAAUAAGGUACAGCCUAUUUGAAACAGGAUACAACCUAGCCUAGUGGAUAAGAUCAGCCUAACAUACAAUCAAGUGGGCCUAAAAGCAGCCACCUUUAAUACAGCGUCAAAGCUAAAUUGUAACUGAGCCCAAUUACUUAACCCAUAUCUUAAUCCCCUGCCAAUACUGAGUAAUUCUAUAAUAUUAUAGAAAUUUUUAUGUUAAAACUAGUAACAAGAAGAAGAUUCUUCUCUUAAAUGUACGUAUAAAUCAGAAAAGACAAGCUACUGAUGCUUAACACCUCUGAGCAUAAAGUAGUAACUAACCAAGAAAACUCUACUUUUACUGGUGUUAAUCUAACACAAGAACAUUCUAAGAAAGA
rnacentral:rRNA from 1 species